CUUAGCCUUCAAUAUUUUUUAAAAAAUAUUUUUUUCAGCAUCCGUAUUCCUCCUUACAUUAGAGAGUCUAACCUUGCAAAUCCUCGGUAGGUGGUGGGUGCGCUUGGUUUUCCCAUUUCCGCCGGAUGUAGAUCUGCCAAGAAAAAGAACCAACAAGAACAAUAUGAUAUGGAACAUAUAUGUCUUAUUUGUAGGUGAAUAAAUAAUCUAUACCUUGAUGAUAGACAAAACAACCGUGACGAAGCUGUACAAUCCCAAGAAUAAAAACG
rnacentral:lncRNA from 1 species